UGGGGAAUUUUGGACAAUGGACGCAAGUCUGAUCCAGCCAUGCCGCGUGCGGGAAGAAGGCCUUCGGGUUGUAAACCGCUUUUGUCAGGGAAGAAACGGACUGGGUUAAUACCUUGGUCUAAUGACGGUACCUGAAGAAUAAGCACCGGCUAACUACGUGCCAGCAGCCGCGGUAAUACGUAGGGUGCAAGCGUUAAUCGGAAUUACUGGGCGUAAAGCGUGCGCAGGCGGUUAUGCAAGACAGAUGUGAAAUCCCCGGGCUCAACCUGGGAACUGCAUUUGUGACUGCAUGGCUAGAGUACGGUAGAGGGGGAUGGAAUUCCGCGUGUAGCAGUGAAAUGCGUAGAUAUGCGGAGGAACACCGAUGGCGAAGGCAAUCCCCUGGACCUGUACUGACGCUCAUGCACGAAAGCGUGGGGAGCAAACAGG
rnacentral:rRNA from 1 species